GGCGCAACUCACCACUGCGAUCGCCAGGAUGUUCGGGAAGGCGGUGAAAUUCCGCCACUGCCCCGCAACUGUGAGCGCACCUAGUCAGGUUCCCGUCCUUGUAGAGGUGUUGGAGCCAGGCAGGAUUUCAGCCCGGGCCCGUCCGUACCCGCGGGUUGGCCCAUGAAGCCACUGCAGCCGAACUUGCUUGAUUCGGCUUUGGGAAGGCGGCUGAAGCAGCGCAAGUCAGGAGACCGGUCCGAGGCGCACCCAACAGC
rnacentral:ncRNA from 1 species